AGUGAACGCUGGCGGUAGGCCUAACACAUGCAAGUCGAACGGCAGCACAGUAAGAGCUUGCUCUUACGGGUGGCGAGUGGCGGACGGGUGAGGAAUACAUCGGAACCUACUUUUUCGUGGGGGAUAACGUAGGGAAACUUACGCUAAUACCGCAUACGACCUACGGGUGAAAGCAGGGGAUCUUCGGACCUUGCGCGAUUGAAUGAGCCGAUGUCGGAUUAGCUAGUUGGCGGGGUAAAGGCCCACCAAGGCGACGAUCCGUAGCUGGUCUGAGAGGAUGAUCAGCCACACUGGAACUGAGACACGGUCCAGACUCCUACGGGAGGCAGCAGUGGGGAAUAUUGGACAAAGGGCGCAAGCCUGAUCCAGCCAUACCGCGUGGGUGAAGAAGGCCUUCGGGUUGUAAAGCCCUUUUGUUGGGAAAGAAAAGCAGCAGGUUAAUACCCCGCUGUUCUGACGGUACCCAAAGAAUAAGCACCGGCUAACUUCGUG
rnacentral:rRNA from 1 species